GACGAACGCUGGCGGCGUGCUUAACACAUGCAAGUCGAACGAAGUGGCGAACGGGUGAGUAAUACGUGGGUAACCUGCCCUCCUUUUUGGGAUACGCCUUGGAAACGGGGUCUAUUACCGAAUAAAGGGGGAUGGGCUCGCGGUCUAUCAGCUUGUUGGGGGGGGGAUGGCCUACCAAGGCGGUGACGGGUAGCCGGCCUGAGAGGGUGCCCGGACAUAUUGGGAUUGAGAUGCGGACCAGACUCCUGAGGGAGGCGGCAGGGAGGGAUAUUGCACGGUGGGCGAAAGACUGAUGCAGGGACGCCGCAUGAUGGAUGCAGGAUGUGGGGUUGUAAACCUUUUUCUCUAUCGAACGGGUAGGUGGAGAAGAAGCGCCGGCUAACUACGUGCCAGGAGCCGCGGUAAUAC
rnacentral:rRNA from 1 species